UAAUGCCUUACGUAAAGUGAGAAAUUUGCCUGGAAAUAAAGGAAGAUUGUCCAACUCCAACAACAAUGUUUUUUGUCGUGCUUUGACUGUUGAUUCCACUAAAAAGAGUGCUGACUUUUGCCCUGAAAAGUCACUCGUUUCGACUCUACAGGCUCGACAGAAUAAGGUCCGCAAGUACUGGAUGUCAGGACACUUUUACAAAGGUGGCCAUUAAAGGGAUUGCCCUUCCUUAAGGGCAUGACAAGCUUUAUUCUGGAAGCUCCGAUGGAACUGCACGAAUAUGGGAAGGCCACACUGGAAAGUGUCUUCAUUUUACUGAUCUCGGAGAUGAAGCUGGGUCCUUAAUUACUUAGGGUUCCUGGUGUUCAUUGGUUUGAAAAAUGUAGUCAAGACUUACGUGAUAUUGGUGGAUCGGAUCAACACAUCUGGAAGCACUAUCCAGAAUUCCACUGGUAGAUUUUAAAUACAACUUUUGAUUUAUAUGGCAUGUAUAGGACAAAGUUGAAAGAUGCGGCUUUGAAACAUUAAUAUAUGUAUGCUUGAAUAUCCAUAUUUUUAAGUUGGAUUUUGUAGGGUAAUGAAUGAAGUUAUUUUUGGUAAACUUAGGUUAAGAAGUAUUAUGUUAAAAUGGUUAAUGAAAACUUGUGUUUUU